rnacentral:rRNA from 1 species
ACACCGGCAGCUCAAGUGGUAGCCGCUUUUAUUGGGCCUAAAGCGUCCGUAGCCGGUCUGAUAAGUCUCUGGUGAAAUCCCGCAGCUUAACUGUGGGAAUUGCUGGAGAUACUAUCAUGACUCGAGGUCGGGAGAGGCUGGAGGUACUCCCAGGGUAGGGGGGAAAUCCUGUAAUCCUGGGAGGACCACCUGUGGCGAAGGCGUCCAGCUGGAACGAACCUGACGGUGAGGGACGAGAGCCAGGGGCGCGAACCGGAUUAGAUACCCGGGUAGUCCUGGCCGUAAACGAUGUGGACUUGGUGUUGGGAUGGCUUCGAGCUGCCCCAGUGCCGAAGGGAAGCUGUUAAGUCCACCGCCUGGGAAGUACGGCCGCAAGGCUGAAACUUAAAUGAAUUGGCGGGG